AUUUUUUGACUUAGUUUCUGGGAAGCAAACAGUGCAAAUGUUCCAGAAUAUGCUUCUUGAAUUAAUGUGAAAAAUUCCUGGCAGGUUGGUGGCAUUCUUGGUGUGGUGUCUUGUGGCAGCAGUACCUCAGCAGGGAGAAUGGCUGGGACUGCAUACGGCUGAGUCCUGUUGGUCUGUUCCCUCAUCACUGCUCAGCUUGUAGGAUUCAGGUGUGUAGGCGUCAGGACCUUUUGGACUCUUUCUUACUCCCUCCUGUUUGACACACUCUUAUUGUGCCCUGACAGUUGCUUUCAGAGUAAGUUAUCACUCACUGCUUCUUUCUUGUCCUUUUAAUUUCCUUCCAGCAAAAUUCAGAGGCAAGGAUCUGACUAGGGUUUUACUGUCUUUGUUUUUGCUGCCUACGUAGCUGCAGAGCAGAGUGGUUAUUUCUAGGAAAAUGACAUUGCUGGGACUCAGAUCCUGAAGCACCUUCUGGCCCCAUACCCCUCAGAAGGUGAUGGACAAACUGCACUAAGAGACACCUGGUACCUUACAGUAUUGACAAGUUUUCCCUGGCACUUCUGUGGUGAGUUUUAGGUACGGUGCUUAAAGGUAAACAUUAACAGAUUGGUGAGGGCACAGUCCAGCUCCAGGCCAGGAAAGAUCUGUGGCAAUGACCUCCUCUCUAGUGAACAUGAGCUGUGAGGAACAGCUUAAGGAACUGCAGGAGCUGAGAGGACACAGUCUUUUUGCAUGUAGAGACUGCUGCAAAAGCAAUUAAGCUUACCUCUGCUCUGUUAUGGGGCAAGUUGCAAUGGGCUGAAGUUUGUGGCCAGGAGGGUUCAGGUAAAGUGGUAUAGAAAACUUGUGACGAAGUGAGGGAGUGCUAAAUAUAUUGCUGAGGUUGGCCAGAGAGCUUCUGUUUUGGGAAACCUCUGAGAACAGAUGAACAAGUGACUGUUGGUGGGGGUACAGUAGUGGUCCUCAAGCACAGGAAUGGGAGGGGCCCCAGGGAGUCACUCUCUCCUGGCCACUCCUUCUAUGAUAAGAAACAGCAGAAAGUAGUGUGAAAGGAAGACUGAGAUUGCAUCUACUUUUCACAAAAUACUGGCUACAGUAGUAGGCUACAGUAUCCCACAGAGUGGGUAAAUGAGAGCCAUAUUUGAUAUUAGUCAUAGGCUGUGAGGACAUAUAUACAGGUUUCAUAUCAGCAGUUAAGCCCAUGGAAAUUCCUGAUUUUUCAUGUAUUUUUGAAUUUGAAAGAGUAUCUGAGACCAGUUUUCUCUCUAACCUGAAUUAGGGCACAUGCUGGGGAUCUUGAACUGCCAUGCAAAUGGAAUAUAAACAUUCAGAGACAUGAUGAACAGGCAAUAGCAAAAGAUACCUGAUCCAGAAGAACUCUGGAGAAGUCUAGCCAUAAAAGUAUUCCUCCUUUAAGCAUUUGUGGAUGAAAAUGAAGUGAGUUGAAUGGACAUGAAGCAACACUGUUGCUUUGAAUCCAUGCAAGGAGCAGAUACAUUGCAGCACCUUUGGCUUUGCUACAUCCCUACAUGUUUAUGGUUACUGCUUUUAUAGCAGUGUUUUUAUCAGCCAUUGACUUUUUCAAAAUAAUUCAACAUACCAGACCUAAAUUAAAAAAAAAAAAAAAAAAGAGGCAAAAA